CCUACGGGAGACAGCAGUGAGGAAUAUUGGUCAAUGGACGAGAGUCUGAACCAGCCAAGUAGCGUGAAGGAUGACUGCCCUAUGGGUUGUAAACUUCUUUUAUAUGGGAAUAAAAUGUUCCACGUGUGGGAUUUUGUAUGUACCAUAUGAAUAAGGAUCGGCUAACUCCGUGCCAGCAGCCGCGGUAAUACGGAGGAUCCGAGCGUUAUCCGGAUUUAUUGGGUUUAAAGGGAGCGUAGGUGGAUUGUUAAGUCAGUUGUGAAAGUUUGCGGCUCAACCGUAAAAUUGCAGUUGAAACUGGCAGUCUUGAGUACAGUAGAGGUGGGCGGAAUUCGGGGUGUAGCGGUGAAAUGCUUAGAUAUCACGAAGAACUCCGAUUGCGAAGGCAGUUCACUGGACUGCAACUGACACUGAGGCUCGAAAGUGUGGGUAUCAAACAGGAUUAGAUACCCCUGUAGUC
rnacentral:rRNA from 1 species